rnacentral:rRNA from 1 species
GAUGAACGCUGGCGGCGUGCCUAAUACAUGCAAGUCGAGCGAACGGACGAGAAGCUUGUAUCUCUGAUGUUAGCGGCGGACGGGUGAGUAACACGUGGAUAACCUACCUAUAAGACUGGGAUAACUUCGGGAAACCGGAGCUAAUACCGGAUGAUAUCUUGAACCGCAAGGUUUAAAAGUGAAAGACGGUAUUGCUGCAACUUAUAGAUGGACCCCGGUUGCAUUGGCUAGUUGGUAAGGUAACGGCUUACCAAGGCAACGUUGCAUAGCCGACCUGAGAGGGUGAUCGGCCACACUGGAACUGGGACACGGCCCAGACUCCUACGGGAGGCAGCAGUAGGGAAUCUUCCGCAAUGGGCGAAAGCCUGACGGGGCAACGCCGCGUGAGUGAUGAAGGUCUUCGGAUCUUAAAACUCUGUUAUUAGGGAAGAACAUAUGUGUAAGUAACUGUGCACAUCUUGACGGUACCUAAUCAGAAAGCCACGGCUAACUACGUG